GUUUCCUUGUUUCAGAGAUAUUUUUUAGUCCGAUCAGCUAGGUCUUCAUUUCCAUCAGAGCAUAUAGAUACAACAUACAAGUUAUAUUUGUUUUGUUUUACUGCCUCACAAAUUUGUCUUCUUCUAAAAUGGGUGCAAUUUCACAUCCUCAUUAUCCUUCUCUCAUUGAUGUUCUGCCUUUUGGCUUGCUUAAUUGUCAAUAGGUUCUUAUUUUAGAACAUACCAAACAACUGUUCUGCAACAAUUUCAAGUCCUUGAAGCCUUUUGCCAUCUCAUUCUUAAUUCCCAGAUGUUCAGGCAAGAGCUUUAGCAAUUAGACGCCAUCUGGUAAUAUUCUAGCGGAAAUGGUUUGGGCUUUGAGCUAAGGCUUCCAAGUAUAUGCAAACUUUACAUGGAAUUGUUUACAGUUCUUGUGCUAAGCUUCUGAUUACAUAGCAUCAAAUUCCUUUCAGUACCUGAUCUUGACAGACAUCUGGCAAAGAUUUUAUUAUCUCAGAUGCCGAAAAUGAUAUGAAAAUUUUUCUGGCAAGCUUAGAAGCAAUUUGGAAUCCCUAAUCUAAUUGCACUCUAUUUAACUUUUAAUUUUUAUCCUGGAAUCAUCACAGCUAAAAUUGAUAU
rnacentral:misc_RNA from 1 species